ACUGAGCUACAAGUAUAAACGUGCUUAAUCAUUUUCAUUGAUUUAAAAGAACUUGAAAAAAAAGAAAUCGAAAAGUUAAAAAGCGAAACUUCAGCACACACAACCAUUUUGGAGCAAAGACGAGAACUCAUUUUUCUGUGUCAAUAAGAAACAUGGUGGUUUCCUUUAAUAAGAUGAUAAUACUCUUAGCCAUAACAUGUCUCCUCGUUUCAAAUUCAGAAGCAAGGCCAGUGGUAAAGGUACGAAACAAUACUAACAACAGAAGCAAUUGGAAAAAUGAAUCACUGGAGCACAAUUUUGGUCAUCAUACUACCAUACCCGUCCCGAUCUACUCGACUGC